rnacentral:rRNA from 1 species
UACGUGGGGUCCGAGCGUUGUUCGGAAUUACUGGGCGUAAAGCGCACAUAGGCGGGCUAGAAAGUCGAUUGUGAAAGCCCCGGGCUCAACCUGGGAAUUGCGAUGGAGACUGCAAGGCUUGAAUCUGGCAGAGGGGGGUAGAAUUCCACGUGUAGCAGUGAAAUGCGUAGAGAUGUGGAGGAACACCGAUGGCGAAGGCAGCCCCCUGGGUCAAGAUUGACGCUCAUGCACGAAAGCGUGGGGAGCAAACAGG